rnacentral:rRNA from 1 species
UACGUAGGGGGCUAGCGUUGUCCGGAAUCAUUGGGCGUAAAGAGCGUGUAGGCGGCUUGGUAAGUCCGCUGUGAAAGUCCAGGGCUCAACCCUGGAAAGCCAGUGGAAACUGUCAAGCUAGAGUCCGGAAGAGGCGAGUGGAACUCCUGGUGUAGCGGUGAAAUGCGCAGAUAUCAGGAAGAACACCAAUGGCGAAGGCAGCUCGCUGGGACGGUACUGACACUGAGAAGCGAAAGCGUGGGGAGCGAACAGG